CUACCCGCUGAUGGCCUAUACAUC
rnacentral:siRNA from 1 species